rnacentral:lncRNA from 1 species
CGGUUUUGAAUAUGAUGGUGAAGGCAGAUUAGAGUGUUGCCUCUGAUGGAGCUGUUCAGUUUGAAUUAAAAGUGAAUCUUGAUAAGUGUGUUGCUGCUGCUGUGCCUGGUCUUCUCGAUUGAUUGGUGGUUUCAGAAGGAGCUGCUGCGACAGGUUCUCAGUCAAUACUUGGGCUUGUGGUUGCAGAAUAUUAGGAGACACUGAUUGCUGAAUCACUUGUUGCUUCUGAAGCUGCAACGGAGGGUUAGAGUUUCCUGAUUGUUGAAGAUAGAAAGGCUGUUGAAAAUUCAUCAUUUGUUGCCUCAAGAGAUCUCCACUUCCUAGGUUCUGCAAACCAGCUGCUGCUAACAUGGCUUGAUACUGCUGAUUCUGAUCAUUUCCAAGCAUAGUUGGAUCCAGCCUCUGCUGCAUCCACGGAAACAAACCGGCACCUUGAAAGUUUAGAGAAUUGACUCCUUGGUCUCCAGGUCCACCUCUCAGCCACAUUAGCCCAUUAGUUGUCUCGUCUCUGCCAUCUGUAAAGACAUGACCCUUUGUAAACACAGGAAACAAAGAAAGUGUCCUCAAAACAAUGAAACCUAGGAACUUACUCCAUUGUAUUUUUGGACAUGAAGAAUGGGUGAAAUAUGAACUACCGAAAACAUGUGACUAGCAGACAAAAUGGAAACAUUCAAAUUCAACUACUUUCUUAGAAAAAGAAAAUACAUUGUUUGAAUUUUUUCCUUUUCAAGACGCAGGGAAAAGUAAUGGAGAAAUGUAUGCAUGAAUGUAAAAUUGCAACAAAUUUGUCUUCGCUUCAAUGAAAAUUUUGUUUUCUUACACCCAAUCAUAAAAUUAGUGCCAUCAUAAUAUUUCUACAAUGUACAUCAACAAUCAGAAGGAAGAUAAUAGAAAAUCAGUAUUGAGAAAACAUGUACCAAGAAAAGAUGAGGUGCCAGGAUGCCAUGGACGUUUCAAUCUGAGGGGAAAUAGUGAUGGAUACAUUGGAAAUGUUGUUAGAGGUUCAAUUUCCCAUAAUGACACCCGUGGCUGUCUCUCUCCUGCUGUUGAUUCAUCCCAACCAACCUAUGCACAGGGAUUGUAAAACAGGGUAAAGCAAAAACUGGGCUCAUAAAGGAUGCCAAGUCAAGAGUUUCUUUUAGAUAUUGAAUUUCAUUUGCCAGUCACUAUUUAAAGCAUGGAAUAGAAUACAAAUUAUGAAACCCUGAUGCUGGCAGUACUCCAGAGUUCAGACAUGUUGCAACAAACCUAAUGAUUUGAUGAAGAAAAAGGAACACAAAUAAAUUACGUACAACAACACAAAAGCCCUUUUCCGCUAGACAGACUCAACUUCAAGGAUCAAACAACACCAUUGUGUCCUUUUAAAAUUUAAGUCUAUAUUUUCAAAAAUGCAUUUAAAAUUAAGUUCUUUUCAAUGAUAUCAAUAUAGUUUGUCUUCUUUUACCUUUAUCCUCCGCCUAUUCAACUCACCUUAUUGAGGCUUUUAAUGUCAGUUUCCGCACAUGGCUAAUCCACUAAAGUCAAAGUCCCAUUUUCUCUCUCUAAUGCAUUAACUCCUAAUCAUAUCUGGUAUAGCUAGUCAGCUUAGUUACUGAGGGGCAUGGCCCAUGCGCCAGCUGCGUAGCUCACUUACCACAAUAUAAAUAGUAGUUAGCAUUAUGUAAUCACUGAAUUGAACCCAUGACAUAAAAGAGAAAACAGAUUCAGUUAUCAUUCUCCCUCUCUCUUCCGUCUCCAUGCAUUCAAUUUCUAAGAUAACCUCAAAAUCUUGUACAGCAAUCAAGAUUUUUACUCUCUACAUCCUCAAUGCAUUUUCGCUUUAUCAAAGUCUCUUGUCUAAUUGUCUUCUUUAUCUCUACCUUUAACAAGCGUAUAAAUAUUCCUUCCUCAUGUUUGGUUCUUAAAGAUCGGCAUAGCCUGAAUAAAUAUUCCUUUCUCAUCAUCAUUCACCACCUUAGUAUAUCUCUUAUCCACCUCAUAUAUUUUGCAAUACAAAUAAAUGAUGUGAAACAUGAUUAGAUGUCAUGAAAAAUUUAUUUAUUAAUCAUAUUCAUAAUUCACAACUUUGAGAAGAUCAUCCUCCUUAGUCCUUAUGCAAAGCCUAUGGAACAGGUCUAUAAUUUCAAAAAAAUUAAAAAGAACAGCCAAGUUCACGAAGUUCCCACCCAUGUGGAGUUUGGACCUUUGAGGGGGGCUGUAGGUGGAGCAAGAGCGGCUGAUCCAUGACUAGAACUCAUGGUCACAAGACAGCAACAUUAUGAUUAAGCCAGGCCCCACUCUUAUGUUUGUAAUUGCAAAGUAGCAAUAACUUUCAUUAAAUGACAAAAGGUGUCAUAUAAAACACUAUCUAAUCUUAUGUAUCACAUUGUGAUCUUACUUACCUUGACUGAUCGCCAAUGAGAAUUCGGCCAACGAACAGGAUCCAAGUCACUUAUGCCAGUUAUAGUACCCAUGUACCUGCAAAAAUAAGGUGACUUGUGCAUAUAGGGUAUAAUAGUAUGGUGUCAAACUACCAAAGAAUAGCAUUUGGCACGUAUUUCCACCGCCUUUAGAUUGAAAACCACCUUUUGUUUGAUCUCAUCCCAAAAUCAUCCGAUUGCAACUGCUAACUAUAUUUUCUGCUAAAUGCUCACAUCCCAAAAUUUUAAGUUCAAUUUUAUAAUUAAUCAAUUGACUCCUUCCAAUUACUCUAGAGCCAAAGAGAUGGAUUUUGUAGCCAUAAAUCCCAUCAUCAAUAAAAUUGCCUCCUUAGAAGGUAUAGAUGCAGAUGCCAUACCAACAUUUUAUAGGCAAGCCAUUUUAGAGGGUACAUCCUCUGUAAUAAACAUUUAUAAGUUAAACCUAUAUUUACCCUUGCAAAAUUAACUUAAGCGGUCUAAUAAGAGGUGCAAGAAACAUAUCUACAAUUUAAGAGGAAAAGAAACACCAGGUGCUUAAGAAAAAAUAUUUAAUGGCUACAAGUACCUACGAACACUUGACUCUUCAGUCUCGAAAAGCAUCCUAAAACGCAUACCAACAGAAACACGUGUAUGGUAGACAGCUUUUAUGUAUUUUGCCAGUGGAAUGACGAACUCGGAUGGGCUAGCCCUGCCAUGAUAUAGGUGUCAAAUGAAGGAAAAAAUUCAAAUAAAGAAGCCUAAGAAAUGGAAAUUUAGACAACAUUCACAACCUUGGAUUAUAGAACACUGUAAAGCAGCUAUUGGUUGCUGCAGCAUGGGCAGCAGCAGCAAGAAGCCCAAUGUGCAUACUAUCACUGGAUAGAACUGAUGAUGGCAUCACAGUUUGUGGCCUGUUAGCACGACGUAUUCCCAAAAGAAGCUGAUUCUUUUCAUUCCUAACAAUGAAGAAACAUAGAAAAUAGUAAACAAGCAGUUUGCAACCUCCAAGGGGUGAAAAAGGAUGAAAAAAAGGUAAAAGGAAAUAAUAUACCAUAUGAAAAGUACAGAAUCUCCAGCGACAAGCCUUUUCGCACUAACAAAUACACUCCAUCCUGUUGUAAGAAGGUGCCGUUUUGGCUGCCCUGAAAUGAUAUGCAUGGAAUGAAGAUAUCAUCUUGUGCAGAAAAUACAGCUUAUUAAAAAUUCAGAAGUCAAAUAUAAUUAGUGCGAUUAAUAAUGACACUAGCACACAUGUUCUAAUUUAUCAACAGUGCGCUUAGUGUUUGAUACUUGUGUUCUACAGGAAACUGACUAUGAACUCAGUAAAAGAAAAAGGCCAAAUUCACUACAGUUUGUAAUGGAGGAAACCAGAUCCAAGAGUCAUUGGAAAAUAGUUGGUAAAGCAGGUGGCGGCUGGACAUUUUGCAAAAGAUAAUACAACUUGAUAAUAAGAAAAUCAAUACUCUUGGUCGCACAUCGAAAGAUUAUAUGACAAUGUGUGUUGGCCAAUUUCAAAAAGGGAAAAUCAAUACUUUUUUACACCAGAAAGAUUUGAUUGAUCCCCAUACUUAUAAUGGAAGAUAGACACUCCUAAGAGAACCAUUUCAUUUCCUACUGGUUAACAUUCAGAUGAUUCCAAAGUUUAUUUAGACCUUCAAUGAGGAAGUGAAAGUAAAUAGUCCCAAAAGAUCGUAAUUUCUUACCCUAACAAAUUUUUAAACUAAAGGUGCAGACUCUCCUGUUUAGCAUAUCAUCAUGGUUGUGGUCCAUGUUAAUAUCGCUUAUGUUUGAGUAUUAUUCAUGCUCCUUAUGGGAUAUACACUACGGAGAUCUAAUCACUUCACCACCAUAUCAUUUGCUCAUAACAAUUCUCCAUUGGUAUGUGAUACAACAGAGGACAGUCACUAUUGGAGAAAGCCAGGAUUUUAAAAUCGUAUGAUUAUGGGCUGGUUGAUGUUACAUUUGAUUUUGAAGAUGAUUAUUUUUUUACAGAAAUUCAUGAAAGUUGAUUUUAAACAAGAAAACUUCUAACAAGUGGUAAUCAAUGUAUAUCGGAUAGAUGUACAACUUCCCCGAUCUUCAAGUCAAUUAAGACUAGACACUGGUGACUACUACGGUGCCUAAGUUGCCACACACAAGUCUGAAGAUCCUAGCAAAGGUCCCACUCUAAGAAUGAGGAUUUUAACAUUUAUGAUAGAGAUAUUUAAUGCAAACACUGCAAAAGUUUCAUCAGUGACAAAGAAGGCAUGUGUUUCUAAAUAUAAGCUUGAUGAAUGGCCUGUUUCCGGAGGAACAAAACUCAUGCCAAUUCCUGACACUUACCAAACUUACCAAGAGAUCUUGUCACAUGGGAGCAUUAAUUGGUUCCCCAGAAAACAUAUAGGUUACGACUUCAAUCUUUCUACAACCAUGGUUUCAUUGAGAAGGAUCAAGAGUUAAAGCCCAAAAGAUAAUACAAGUUAAGUUUCUACCAUAAUUAUGUAGUUAGCAGUCCAGAGUAUCAUUAUCUUCCACAAUUGUUUACAACAGCAUUGCUAAAUCUUAGUUUCAAAUGUUUCCAUAUGGAUGUAUCAGUAAACAGUUAACAAUUUAGUCAAAAUAUGACAAAAGCGUUUGUCUUUUUUGGGAUGUAAAAUACAUUAAAAAUGCAGUUAAAAACAAUGAAACAGUGGUUUAUCAACUGAUCCUCCUGGUAUUCCAUAAAUUUACCAUCCCGGAGUUGAAUCAGAUUUUGUCAAGACCGAUGAACUACUUUAAUGUACAUAUCCUUCUUUCUUAAAUUUUAUCCACUUUGAAUACAUAUUCAAUAUAUCACACCAAAGAACCUAUCAUUCUAUUCUAAAAUCAGAUAUUGGUUUGGGGUGCAUUUUCCUGAGAAGCAAUAGAGUGUGUAAUAAAUGUUGAAGAGGCUAUAAAAAAUCUGAAACAUUGCAAUCAAACCAUCUCGCUGUUAAUUAACAGUUAGCAAAUGCGCAAUACCAUCAUUGUUCCAUGAGACUUGGUUAACCUAUUGCAACAAAUAUGAUUUAUCCUCAUAAAACACUAAGAUUACUGCUUUAGCAUACAGCAGAGAUCACAAUCAUCAUAUAAUACUAGCUUUUAUGUUAUCUAAGACCCAAGAUAAAAUACACAUGUCAUGAAAGUAUAAAAUAGCACACCAUUGCAAUCAAAAGAACAAUCCAUCUUAAUAUAUAUUAACAGUAAGUCGGUAACACUACCAAAUAACUGUUAAUAAGAAUGGAAUAAAUAAAGAAUUAAAAUCUUACCCCGGAAAAUAUGCCGAAAUUUCCACUCAACGUCAUGGAGAUCCCUGGCAAUUAGUUCUUGUGCAGGUGGUUGUAGUGAAAAAUCCUGUACAGUCCAAAUAGAAGAGCAAUAAAUCUAUAUCCAACCAGAGUAGAACAUGAAGGAAAAGUAUGAAAACUACCAGUGGAGGGAAAACUUUCUCAGCUGCACGACGGGGAACAGAGAACCCUCCAUGUGUGCUGGUGUCGCUUGCAGUUAAGGUUUUGCAAAAAUAAUUUGAGGGCUGCUUACUUGGAACGCCUAAUUCCAUAGGAAGAAAUGCAUCCUUCUGCUCUUGCUACAAACAUAAAAAAACACAAAUUUCAACUGUAGAACAUAAGACACGGCUAAUCUCAUUACAUGUAAACCAUGCUGCCAAAGAACAACAGGAUACCGGAGUCAAUGGCUGCAGCGUCAUUUGAGCAUACACUUCAUCUGUUUCAACAUCUGCCUGAAAAUUAACACAUGCUCUAAGUUGACUAAAUUUACUCUGAUUGGAGGUAAACUUGACAAAAAUCCCAUAAAUACAGUGAAGAUAUAAUAAUACCGACAUGCAUCGUAAGAUUGUGAAGCUGGCAAACCAACUGAGGUGACAAGCUUGGGUAAUUGGGUAUUUGCCCAUCAAUUUCUCUGUUAGUCGUGGCAGAUACCUACAGUCAUUGUUCAAUACAAUUUCAGUUCAAUUUCCUUUCGCGUAAAUCUACCAAAUCUAAUCAGAUUGGAUUGCUUCAAAUCCCAAUUUAGAAAGAAAAGUUAUGCACCUUCCAUAUUAUGCAAAUAAGAAGAAAUUGAAAGAAUCAACCAUUAGACACUAACUAUAAGCAUAAAGCACCUGCUCACUGUGACCCUGAGGGAAGUAAACCACACGAGUCCCUGCAGUUGGUAGGGACACCAAUGGACCCGCACAAGCAUGCCAUAGUUCAGAAUUCAAACACUUCUUCUCUCCUCCUAUACCAUAUCAGUCCACACAUCAAAUUAUCAUUCAAAAACACUAAUAAGGAUGUUAAAGCAAUCACAAAAAAGGUCUUAAAAGGGACACAAAAAAUAAGUAUUAGUUGUAAAACUUGAGUUGAAGCCCUACCAAUUCAAGAGCUAGGAAUAAGAAUAGGAUGGUAAGUAAUUUAAAAAGAAAAAAGAGAGAGAAAAUGGAGUGUGGAUACCUUCAUGUCCCUGCUGACCCAACCCUGAUGUUGAAAGCUUCAUAUCAAAGCUUUACCCUUUUUCCCCUUUUGAACACAAAGUACUAAGUAAUCACACAAAUACAUAAACCCCUAGCUCAGAGCCAGCAUCCCCGAAUUUCUGAACCCCAUUGCAUUCCCCUAUAAACAAACAUCACCAACCUCAAAAAUCAAACAUAACCCAAAAGGGGAUCCAUGAAAUACAGCAUAAUGAGUAAAAAAUCAGAACCCCACCAUAGGAAAAUGAAAGACCCAGAAGGAAAUUAAGUAACUUUAUAUUGUUUAAGCAAAAUAUGAAGCAAAACAAUGAAAGGGACAAGUAAAGAGAUGGAGAAUAUGAAAGAAGCAGGAACAAUAAGAAAAGGUGGGUGUUGAAGUAAAGGCCCUCUUUUGUGGCCUAUCACUUUCGGAUUGAGAACCCCCAAAUUAGGAUUUUUGGUAUAGAAAUGCAGAGUGAAGUAUAGUGUGAGAGAAUUAAAGAGAGAGAAAGUAAAGGAAGGGUCUUUGCCAUAUAUAUUAUGGGGUCCCGACCAAGCUGGACAUUGAUGCACAGGAGAGAGAAAAUUAGGAGAGAGAAUUUCUGAGUGUUAAAGAGAAUUAAACUCAGCUGUUAGAUUAUCCGUACGUGUAAAUCUUAACCGUAGGUUUGUGUCUGAUGUGACAGCAGGCAUGUGCCACCAUCCUUCAGUGGUCGUUGUCAGAGUACGGAGUUUUGAGGAAAAAAUAUUACCAUGAACAAUAAUAUUGCUAUAAAAAAUACUAUUAUAUUUAAAAUAUUUUAAUGAUAAUUUUUAGAAAUUGUUUUACAUUUUUCAUAUAGUAUUAUUUAGUUAUUUUUAAUUUGUUCAUGUUAAAAGAUUUGAUUCUUUUCAUUUUGUAUUGACUAUCAAUUAAUCCUAAAUAAGAAAUGAGUGUAAUAUUAGAAUCUUAUAAUAUUUGUUACAUAAAAGUUAUAUUCAAUAAGGUUUUAGUCUAAUAGUGUAAGGUUUUGUUGAACCUUUAGGAUGACUAAAAUGUCAAAAAUUCGAUAUAGCUACAUUUGUUAGGAUCAGCAGUAACACAAGUCUAACAUAAUUAGUUCUUUACCCAAAAGUAAAGAUAAUUAGUAGUAUCAACAAAAUAAAAAUAUUACAUGUAGUGAUAAAUACAAUUAAAUAUAAAUCUAUUAUAAUAAGCCUAAAAGAUAGAAUGAACAUCUACUUUAUUACUUCUUAACUUUUCUUGUGUAUCAAUUUCAUUCUUACAAAUUAUUACUUAAAAAUCGUAAAUAUAAACUAAAUAGUCUAAGAUAAAAGCUAAAAUAACAUAAGAUUAAUCAUCAAAUGGUAUAAAAACUAAUUUAACUCACAUUUUAUAAUUUUCAUAAUCAUUUUAGAUUUUCCAAACUAUUAAUAACCAAAUUAAUACAUACAUAAAUUUUGAGAAUUAAAAUGAGUUAUUGAUAAAUUAAAAGAAAGUGUCGUGAGAGAUUGAAUUGAUAGUGCGUGCUACAAAAAUGGAUGGGCAAUGAGGGAUUGAGUGUGUGAGGCGUAAUAAGUAGCUAGAAAAAGUUAAAAGCAGCCUGAUUAUGAUCGGAUUUAAAUAAGAUGGAGUUUUUCGGGUCUAUAGUCGAAUUCGGGUUUAAAAAUCAGACUAAGAUAAUAUUUAUAGUCGGGUAGAGACAUACAUGACUUGACCCGAGCUCAUUCCAUGAUUAUUCGUUCAUCAUAUUUGUAUGUGUUUUUAUUCAAUUAAGUAUAGAGUAAUGACAUCUCUUUGGUUGGAACUAUUAUUGAUUCUCUAAUUGUUUAUCAUAUAUAUAUAUAUAUAUAUCAUUUCAUAUGUCAAAUAACAUAUUCAUAAUAGUAAAUAAUAUUGAGAUGAAUUUAUCUAAAAGUGAUAUGUAUUAUAUUUAAUCGAGUCUGGGUCAGGUUCAUGUUCAUAGCCUAACUCUUGUCGAUAUCUAGGAUCUGAUUAGCUUUGGGUCUAUGGUCAGAUUCGGGUUCAAAAAAUGACUUAAUCAAUAUUUAAGGUCAGGUAAGGGACAAACCUUACCUGACUCAUGCUCACCCCUAACCAUAUGUAUACCUUCUUCUCUCUUCCCUCCAAUUCCAAAUUUGGUUUAGAUAAUAAUGAAUAAUUCAAUUAGAUAUCUGAAUUCUUUUUUUUUUACAAUAAUAAAUACUAGAGAGGUGAGUAGUGAAUAAAAACUAGAGUGAAGUUAGGAGUGAAUUAGACUAGAAAUGGCCUCACAAUUAUUGAUGUAUUGUCUUGUAUGUGUGGAUCUCUUUCAAAAUGAAAAUGCAUGUUUCUGGAUUCAUUGUGGGAUUUUACCCGUAGACUUUUUUAACUAAUUUAUGGAAAACAAGUUAAUACUUAUUGGAGUCUCUGGUUAUUCCUAUAGGCAACUAUUUCUCAAAAUCAAAUUUUGUUAUUUAACCUUGUCCAAUAUACGAAGAUCCAAUGAAACAUUGUAUUUAUAGACCAACUUCUAAUUGGUAUUUUAUGUCUAGAUUUAGUUAAAAGAAAUAUAUAGAAUAUUAUUGAAUCAAACUAUAAUGUGGAUGCGGUUUAUAUAUGUUUAUAUUCAUUUCAUUUAUAAAUUUAAAAGUAAUGUGGUUCACUGGACCAUUUUUUAUACUAGGAGUGAAUAUAUUUUAUUCUAAAAUUAUCAAUAUCAAUCCUUUUCCCAAUGAGCCAUUUUUCCCAAAUUGUUGGGAGAAAAAGAUUCUUUAACCCAUUUGUUAUGAAAAAAGGCAGCUAAUUUGUGGUCUGCAUGGCAUAUGGUUUUUGUAUAAUAAAUGAAGUAAUUAUUACAUUUCCAGCAAAUUUAUUUAUCUUUAUUUGCACGAUUGGUCUUGGGAUAUAGAGGAUGAGAUUCAGCUAUAAUAAUGGAGAGGUAAGUAUUUUUAAAAAGUAAAAAAAAAAAAAAAAAAAAAAAAAGUAUAAUAACAUUUGUGUCAUUUCUAUUUAUAGUGAGAUUACAUUUUUACCCUUACAACUAAAUUUUAAAAAAAAGAACUUUAUUUCCAAUAAUGGGGAGAAUAUUGUUUCAUAUAUAGUGAUAUGAGUUUUGCACAUGGUUAAAAAGGCCAAAAAUGUAUUUACUAGAUUAAAAAUCAAAAUUUUAAUUCUUCAAAGAAAUAUUUUACAUAUUUUGAUUUUUUACAGCAAUAAUUUACAAAAACUCGUACAAAUGAUCUAUACAUGGAACCAAAUUGAAAAAUUGUAACUACGAGCACAUAUGUUGUCGACUAUCCUACAAAUUAUGUUAUUAUAUAUGUUAUUUGUAGUAAUUAAUUGAAAAUAUAUAUUUAAGUUAAAAUUUAAUAAUUAAGUAAUUUUUAUCAAUCAUAACAAUUGAUACAUAGUAGAAGUAUCAAAACAAGCUACCCAGACAGAUUCGGGCUAGCUCACAUCGAGUUCGGACUAAAUCGGGCUGAGCUAAAAAGCCCAGAUACAAUUUAUACAUAUCAAAUUGUAGCUCAAACCCACCCUAAGCGGGCUGCGGGGUUGUAGCGAGCCGGCCCGCAUAAACUAAUUUUUUUUUGUUUUUUUAAUAUAUUUAAUCUAUUCAAAAAUAUAUAUUAUUUGAUAUUAACAUAUAAUUUUUUUAACUCAUUUGUUAUGCCAAAAAAUGCAACCAAAUUUAUAGAUCUAAUGCAUUGUGUUUGAGUCAAGACGUGAUGUUAAGUCCAAAUGUAUGAUUUUUAACAUAACUCUUUUAUUAAAUAUCUUAUUUCUAUUGGACUCUCACUCUCUAACACAAUGUACUUUGUAACUUCACUUUAAUAUAUAAACUUUAGGAUACUAUUAAAAAUAUUAUCUUGUGUCUUCAUCAACACUUUUAUUGUGAACUAUUAUAUUAAAUUUGGUUGUGUGAAGUUCUAUGUAGUAAACAAUUAUGUUGCUUUUAGUUUUGUUGUAAACAUUAUUUUCUUUAUUAUUAUGUUUUUGUUGUAAAAGUUAAACCUAAUUAAUACACAAUAACACAAUAUUUAUUAUAUAUUUUUUUAUUAUAAAUUGUUUUGUAAAUUUUCACUUAAUGCUUAUUACCAAGCAAAAUGUCCCAAAAAAGUUAAAACAAAUAAGUAAAACGGGUAGCCCGAGCCCGCCCGGGAAAGCCCUGCCCGAGCCAGAAUUUAAAAUAGUCUGGUUGGACCGGGCUAAAUAGCCCGAAUUAUAUAAAAAGUACUUAAUAUGAUACCCAAGCCCUAUAAAUUUUCGAGCUUUUGUAGGCCGACCCGUCCGGGCCCACCCAUUUUGACAACUCUAAUACAUAUCAGACACAUUCUUUAAAACAUAAGAUGUACUUUGAUUGUAAUGUGUACGAACUUCGAGUUUUGAAGGAGAAGUCUUAGUCCAUUCAAUUAUUCUGAGUAGGGGUGAGCAGGACUUGACCCUACCCGCUCAUUCGGUAUUGCUCGAUCAUGACCGAGUCUGAAUAUGGUCAGGUCUAGGUUUAUGUUAAAAAAUUAGACCUUAACAACAUUUAGGGCUGGGUAGGGAUCAAACAUGACUUGGCCCCGACCUGUUUCAUGAUCACACUCAUCAUAUUUGUAUGUGUCUCUAUUCAAAUGUGUACAAAAUAAUGAAACUUUUUUGGUCGAAAGUAUCAUUGAUUCUCUAAUUUUUCAUCCUACACACAUCACUAAUAAUAUAUACAUACAUGUAUCAUUUUAUGUGUCAAAUAUAUAUUCAUAAUAAUAAAUAAUAUCGAAAGACUUUAUUUAAAAUGAAUAUGCAUUAUAUUUAAUCAAGUCUAGGGCCAAAUUCGAAUUUAAAGGCUGACUCGAUUGAUAUUUAUGGUCGAUUUAGCUUAUGGUUUAGGUCCAAAUUCAAAAAAUAAUCCUACCAACAUUUAGGGUCGAAUAAAGGAUAAACUUUAACUCGUCACAUGCUUCUGAGCAUCUCUUCUAUAUUCCAAUUGAAUAAAGAGAGGUUGGUCGCUGUAAUGGAAAACAUACAACUAAAUAAUAUCAUUUUAUGUGUCAUAUAUAUAUUCAUAAUAAUAAAUAAUAUUGAGAGAUUUUAUUUAAAAUGAAUAUGCAUUAUAUUUAAUCGGUUCUAUGGUUAGGUUCGGAUUUAAAGGAUGACUCGAUCGAUAUUUAUGAUCGAUUUAGCUUUUAAUCUAGGUCCAAAUUCAAAAAAAUGACUCAACCAACAUUUAAAGUCGGAUAAAAGACAAACCUUAACUCGUCUCAUACUCACUCCUAAUUGUGAGCGUCUCUUCUACUAUUCCAAUUGAAUAGAGAGAGGUUGGUUGCUGUAAGGGGAGACAUUCAACUCAAUCUUUCAAUCUAAAAGGAGUGUAAAAUGAUGGAUAAUAGUGUGAGUGGGAAUAAAGUAUAUUAUAUUGUAUCAUUUUGUUUUGUAACCUUAAAAUCAGCAUUUAAGUUUCUAUCAUGACAAACCAAUGAUGUUAACUUCUCUAUAUAAAAAAAACCAAUGAUGUUAUAAACUAUGUAAAAGUAAUAACUACAAUGAAGAGUAAAUACUUUUCUGGAUAAUUUCCAUUCUCUUAUUGCGCAUAUCCUUGUUUAUCCACCUAUCAUUUAUUGCAUUUCACACAUCCCACAAAUUCAUAAUAAAAAAUGGAAAAAAAUAAGUAUCCAAUAAAAUAUAAAAUAUGUAUUAUAAAACAUAAAAAAUAAAUAGUCUUCAAUCAUAUUUAAAAACCUCACAUCAAAUUUAUGAAAUUAAAAUAUUUAAAAAGAGACUCAAACAAGUUCCAAACAAAUAACAUUAAAAUACGAACAUUUAAGAUAUCAAUUUCAAUUUGUGAUUAAUAAAAUUAAUGUAAAUGUUAAAUUAUAUAACUGAUAUAGUGAUAUAACCCUUAGCUCCUAAUUGCCUACUCAGCUAAAUGUCAUCCUUUUGUGUCUCCACAUAGAAGAAGCCAUCUAUCAACACGUAUCACAAUUAGUGAAAAUUUCAUUUGAUUAUUUAUUGUCAUAUUUCAAAUCAACUUGAUUAUUUAUUGUGAAAAAAUAUACAAAUAAUUAUAGAUAAUAAAGUAUAUUGGAGAUAAGUUAUUUCCUUUUGUCGCUAAGACUAUGAUAGUGUAAAAGAUUUUCACAAUGUCACGUUACUACAUCAUCUAAUAUUCAUUUUCAAUUACUAUUAACUUUUAAAUAAAAUAAAAUAAAUAAAUAGUAAAUAAUAUAUUGAUUGUGUAUAAAUUUUUACUUUACUAUUACACUCAUUAUUUAAUACACUCAUCAUUGUUGUUAUGAAAUAUGUGAUUAGCAACUUAUAGGUCUUGCAAUAGCAUUAAAAAGAUGUUCCCUUGUUUUUAAUUUUUAACCUUUUCGACUUAAAUACUAUUUGUUUGUUUCAAUGUAUUGAUUCACAUUAAUAUACAUUAAGAGUUAAAUAAAUAAUAAUGAUAAAUAUAAAAGGUUAGAAUAAAUAUUCCUACAUCCCCUGUAGUUGAUUCUGGUGAUAUAUCAUUAUUUCUCUUGAAAGGAUUCAAAUUCAAUAAUUAUAUAUAAAGAUAAGAGAAUAUUUUUGGUAAUACAAAAAAAACUAUAAAGAUAAACAUGAAUUAACAACAAUUUUCAUAGAGGAGAGAUCCAUUUAAGAGUAAGUUUUUGAAACUUACUCCCUAUCCUAGCCAUCAAUUCUAUGAGAAUCCAAUAAUUUCAAUUAUUGAUUAGAUCUAAAUCAUUAGAUGUCCCUAAAAUUGAUGGCUAUGAUGAGGAAUAAGUUUAAAAAAACUUACUCUUGAAGUAAGUAGAUCAUCACUCAUUUUCCCAUAUAUCAAAAUUAUUUCCAUGCAUUUUUUCUAUUUUAAAAAUAUACUUAAAAGAACAUUAAAAACUCAACAAGUUACUUAUCACCAAACAUAGUUUGUUUCAGAAAUUAAUAAUAUAUUAGAGAGAAAGAAAAAAUAAUUAUUUUUGCAAUACCUUGUGAAGAAUUAGAUAAUGAUAGAAAAGAAGAGUUUUGAGGAUAAGGGCAUUUAUGCAUGGUUAUUUGGAGUGGUGUGUGACAUUGGAAUUUUUUUAAAUUUUUUUUAAAAGUGUCAAAAAAAUUUGAUUAAUGCCACAUGGAAGAAAUCCCAUUAUGGUAAAUAUGUUUUGAAUGAAAAUCCAAAUUUGAUUAAUAGUAUCAAAGGUAUCCAACUUUGGUAAGUAGUUGCCAAAUACCCUUGUUUGAUAUAAAAAAUUCCAUAUGAUUGAUUCAAAGGUGGGUUUGGUCGUAUGUCAUUGUGUAUAGUAUAUAGUGCAAACAUGUAAUUUUAGUGCAAUAAAUAUUAACUACACAUUUUUUUAUGAAAAUGGAGGUAAAUAUUAAAAAAUAUAUUUAAAUACUUUACAAUUAUAAUUAAAUGAUUAUAUAGCAUAAGCGAUGCAUAGACAUAGGAACUCACAUAUAAUAUUAGUGUAUGCGUUUUUUUCUCUUUGAAAAAUAUACUCAAAAGAACAUUAAAAACUCAACAACUUAGUCAUCACCAAACAUGAUUUGUUUCAGAAAUUAAUAGAAUAUUGGAGAGAAAUUAAAGUCAUAAUUAUUUUUAGAUACCUUGUCAAGAAUUAGGCCAGACUAGAAAAGAAGAGUUUUGAGGAUAAGUACAUUUAUGCAUGAUUAUUUGAAGAAUGAAAUCUAUAUAUAUUGAGCAAUCACUUGAGUUUGUGGAUGAGAGGGAGUUCAGUCUUGAUGGAUGAUUUUACAGGUUCAUAUAUGACAUUUUACAAUCUCUACAACUAAUAUGGUUUGGAAGAUUCAGUGGAGAGAAAAGUCACACUUUUUAUUACUAUUCACUCUCUAAUCAUUUCAAAUAUCUUAUUCUCUUCGUGGACUUUAUUAUUAUUAAAUGUAAGACCAUGAAAGAAAUGAAGACUAAAAUAAACUUGUCCAAAUUCUUCGAAGAGAAGGAAUUGAGCUUGUUCUGAUCAUUUAGUAGGAUUGAGUUGGCCGGUCAAAAACAUAUAUAGUUAUCUAUCAAAGAAAUUUUAUGCUCUUAUUUUUUAGGAAAUAUGAAUGUUGUAAACUAAAUCUAUAUUUUUAUAAAUCGAAUGUUUAACUUAUAUGACAUCACUAGGAUCCAAUAUGGACUUGGUGAUAACAUGGACUAAUAGAAAAGUAAAACUAUUUUUCUCCUAACCUAGAGUAUUCCAAUAAGAUUAAUAGACAAAUAAUUACUUUUCUCUUACAUCUAAUGAGUUAUUGUAAAAUUGUUUUUCUUAUCCUUUGGUUCCGAGAUUACUAGCCUACUAAAUGUAGGAAGAUGUUGCAUUCCUAUAUUACUUUUCUCUCACACCUAAUGACUUGAUUUUGCGUAGUUUUUUUUUACAGGAACACGAAAUUUGUAUCUAUCAAAGCUUUUGUGGUGAUUGAUAUCAAGUGAUUUGUAAUAUCAUAUUUAUACUUAAAUAUAUAAUAUUAGUUAACAUUUAUAUUAAAUGUUAUUGUCUAUAUUCACUUUAUAACAAAUUUUUUGUUUAGUUUUCUUGUUAAAAUAGGAAGAAACAUAAAACAUUAGAUGUUGAAACUUACAAUAACAAUAAAUGUGGUAUUGUUUUAUACUCUACUUAUUGUUCAACAUAGAGUUAAAGAUUUGUUUGUAUGAAUCUUGUUGAGAUGAAGGAUGGUAGGGGUGAUGGUGUGAACUAUAAGGCAAUAAUAGAGGUGAUAACAUGGGUCACACACCUAAUUUUACACCCUAACUCCACGGAAUAGAGAUUUAUUGUCCCGUAUCAUGUCUUAUAGACUUCCCUGCACCAAUAAUAAUGAAGCAAAAACAACAAUAAAUAUGAAUUUGAAUUGAUAUGUCAUGUUUUCAUUGGUAUGAGACGACGAAUGGGAGACCGUAUCUCUUUUUAACUCCACAAUUCUUUGUCUCGUUAUCAAAAGUAUCUCGAUUUGGCAAGUAGUUGCCAAGGUACCCUUGUUUCACAAAAAUAUUGUGUCCAUAUAAUUUAUUAAAAGGUGCGUUUGGCCGUAGGUCAUUGUGUAUAGUGAACACGUAUACUUUUAGUGCAUUAAAUAUUAACUACAUAUUUUGUUUUAUUUUAUUUUAUGAAAAUGGUGAUAAAUAUUAAAAAAAUAUUCAAAUACUUUACAAUUAUAAUUAAAUUGUUAUAUAGCCUAAGCGAUGCAUAUACAUAGGAACACACAUAUAAUGAUAGUGGAUGCAUUUUUUCUCUUUCAAAAAUAUACUCAAAAGAACAUUAAAAGCUCAACAACUUUGUCAUCACCAAACAUUAUUUGUUUCAGAAAUUUACAGUAUAACGGAGAGAAGAAAAUACAUGAUUAUUUUUUGGGAUAGCUCGUCAAGAAUUAGAUAAGGCUAGAAAAGAAGAGUUUUGAGGAUAAAUGCAUUUAUGCAUGGUUAUUUGGAGAAUGAAGUCUAUAUAUACUGAGCGAUCACUUGAGUUUAUAGAUGAGAGGGAGUUUAAUCUUGUUGAAUGAUUGUACAAGUUCAUAUAUGCAUUUUACAAUCUCCAUAACUAAUAUGGUUACGUAGAUUUAGUAGAGAGAAAAGUCACAUUUUGAUGAUCAUCCACUCUCUAAUCACUUUAGAUAUGUUAUUGACUUCGUGGAUUAUAUUAUAAUGAGUGUAAUAUCUAUAUUACUGACGUUGUAAAGAUUUAUAUACGAUCAGUGCAGUAUUCAACAUUCAUUUGUAUUGUAUUACUCUUAUUUAAAAGUCAACAAUGAUUAAAAUUAAUGGUGGAAGGAAUACCGACUCUAUAUAAAUCUCUGACAUUGUUAAUCUGUGUAUAUCUUUUUAUCUAUUGUUAAUAAAGGUAAUGCCCAUGAAAGAAUUGAAGGCUAAAAUAACAGUUCUCCAAUCUCUACAAAAAAAAACAAGGAAUUCAACUUGUUUUGAUAUUUUAUUGGGAUUGAGUUGGCUAGACAAAAACAUAUGUUGUUAUAUUUUAAAGAAACAUGCUUUUGAUAUUUUAAAGAAAUAUGCUUUUGAUAUUUUUGAAAAUAUGUGAAUGUUGUAAACCAAUCUGUAAUUUUAUAAAUCGAAUGUUUAACUUAUAUUAUAUCACAAGGAUACAUAUAUGGACUUGGAAACAUAAUGUGGACUAAUAGAAAACUCAAAAUUAAUUUUCUCAUUCCAAUAAGAUUAAUAGCCAAUUUCCUAACUCCUACUGAGUUAGUGUAAAAAUGUUACUCUUAUCCUUUGAUUCCUAGAUUACUAUGCAACAAAAUAUUGGCCAAGCGACUAUACGCGAAAAAGUUACACAUCAGGAAGUUGAAAGAUUAAUAUAAAUACAAUAUAACUUAUUUGUUAAAUAUUUAUAAUCUUAAUAAAGUGCGACUUUCUAAAAUAAAUAUUUUAAUUUUAGUUAACUAUUGAUAUAAAAUAUUUCUCUAAUUUAUAUUUAGUAUUAUAUUGUUAUAAUGUUAAAAUAAUUUAGUCUUUAUUAUUCUAACCAGAUGGAGCAUGGAGCAUGGAGCAUGAGCAAACCUAUAACAAUUAUGGAUUGAGAAUAACAAAAUAAUAUAUAACAUAAUAAUCAAAUAUUAGUUUGGAAUUAUUAAUCGAUCAUUGGAACUCAUACAUAUUAUACACGUGAAAAUUUGAAAUCACACCAAUAUCAUAAUUUAUUAAAAUUGUUACAUGAUAUCAUUAUAAUAUAACAUGGUAAAUACUAGUGGUUACAAUUGUUCCAAAUUUGGUUCUUCCUCUGUAAAAUUUGGGUUUCUUGUAAUUUGAACUUGGGCCAUGUUAUUAAAGCGUAACUUGUCAUGCUAUCAUGGCAAUAUUUACCCAAAUCAUGUACAAGGUUAUGGCAACAAUCCGCACUAAUGGUUUCAUUACCAUAAAAUAUUCCAAAGAAUAUUUGAGUGUCACACUGAGGAUGUAACUUUGACGCACAAUUGUCCGAUAAAGGGCUUGGAGCAUCACUAGAAGCUGGCUUCUUAUGUGACUUUAGAAUUUGAAAGUAUGCAUCUCCAUUUCCUACCAACAAAGUAAUGACUGUCAUAAAGGUAACCAUAACAUAAAAGUUACUUGACGUUGUCAUUGCUUGUUAGAUAGGAACAAAAAAAAUUGUAUCUAUCAAAGUUUUUGUGGUGAUUGAUAUCAAGUGAUUUGCAAUAUCAUAUUUAUACUUGAAAAUACAGUAGCAGUUAACAUUUACAUUAAAUGUUAUUGUCUAUAUUCACUUUAUAACAAGUUUUUUGUUUAGUUUUCUUGUUAAAAUAGGAAGAAACAUAAAACAUUAGAUGUUGAAACUUACAAUAACAAUAAAUAUGGUAUUGUUUUUUACUCUAAUUAUUGUUCAACAUAGAGUUAAAUGUUUGUUUGUAUGUAUCUUGUUGAGAUGAAGGAUGGUAGGGGUGAUGGUGGGAACUGUAAGGCAAUGAUAGAGGUGAUAACAUGGGUCAAACACCUAAUUUUACCCCCUAAAUCUACGAAAUAGAGAUUUGAUGUCCCAUGUCUUACAGGCUUCCUCGCACCAAUAAUAAUGAAGCAAAAACAAAAAUAAAUAUGAAUUUCAAUUGAUAAGUCAUGUUUUUAUUGGUACGAGACGACAGAUGAGAGGCCAUAUCUCUUUUUAACUCCACAAUUUUUUGUCUGGUAUCCAAAAGUAUCUCAAUUUGGCAAGUAGUUGCCAAGGUACCCAUGUUUAAUAAAACUAUUGUGCCCAUAUAAUUGAUUAAAAGGUGGAUUUGGUCGUAGGUCAUUGUGUAUAGUGUACUUUCAGUGCAUUGAAUAUUAACUGCACAUUUUGUUUUUUUAAUUGAAAAUAGUGGUAAAUAUUAAAAAUAUAUUCUAAUACUUUACAAUAUAAUUAAAUAGUUAUAUAGACCGAGCGAUGCACAAACAUAGGAACUCGCAUAUAAUAUUAGUGGAUGCAUUUUUUUUUAUUUCAAAAAUAUACUCAAAAGAACAUUAAAAGCUCAACAACUUUGUCAUCACCAAACAUUAUUUGAUUCAUAAAUUAAUAGUAUAUUUGAGAUAAGAAAGGAUAUGAUUAAUUUUUGGAUACCUCGUCAAGAAUUACAUAAGGCUAGAAAAGAAAAGUUUUUAGGAUAAGUGCAUUUAUGCAUGGUUAUUUGGAGAAUGAAGUCUAUAUAUAUAUAUUGAGCGAUCACUUGAGUUUGUGGAUGAGAGAGAGUUUAGUCUUGUUGGAUUAUUGUACAAGUUCAUGUAUGGCUUCUACAAUCUCCAUAACUAAUAUGGUUAGGUCUAUUUAGUGGAGAGAAAUGACACAUUUUUAUGAUCAUCAAUUCUCUAAUCACUUUAUAUCUGUUAUUGACUUCGUGGACUAUAUGAUUAUGAGUGUAAUAUCUAUAUACUGAACAAUGUAAAGAUUUAUACACAGUCAGUGCGUUAUCUACAAUUCCUUUGUAUUACUCUUAUUUAAAAGUCAACAACGAUUAAAAUUAAUGGUGGAAGGGACACUGCCUAUAUAUAAAUCUCUUACAUUGUUACUGUGUGUACAUCUUUUUAUCUAUUGUUAAUAAAGGUAAUGCCUUUGAAAGAAUUGAACGCUAAAAUUACAAUCCUCCAAUCUCUGCAAAAUACAAGGAAUUCAACUUGUUUUGAUAUUUUAUUGGGAUUGAGUUGGCUAGACAAAUACAUAUGUUGUUAUAAAUACAAUAUAACUUAUUUGUUAAAUAUUUAUAAUUUCAAUAAAGUGCGACUUUCUAAAAUAAAUAUUUUAAUUUUAGUUAAUUAUUAAUAUAAAAUAUUCUAUGAUUUAUACUUAGUAUUAUAGUUAUAAUGUUAAAAUAAUUUAGUCUUUAUUAUUCCAACCAGCUGGAGCAUGGAGCAUGAGCAAGCCUAUAACAAUUAUGGAUUGAGAAUAACAAAAUAAUAUAUAACUUAAUAAUCAAAGAUUAAUUUGGAAUUAUUAACCGAUCAUUUGAGCUCAUACAUAUUAUACACAUGUGAAAAUUUAAAAUCACACCAAUAACAUAAUUUAUUAAAAUUGUUACAUUAUAUCAUUAUAAUAUAACAUGGUAAAUACUAGUCGUUACAAUUGUUCCAAAUUUGGUUCUUCCUUUGUAAAAUUUGGGUUUCUUGUGAUUUGAACUUGGGUCAUGUUAUUAAAGCGUAACUUGUCAUGCUGUCAUGACAAUAUUUACCCAAAUCAUGUACAAGGUUAUGCAAUAUGCAAACAAUCCGCACUAACGGUUUCAUUACCAUAAAAUAUUCCAAAGAUUAUUUGAGUGUCACACUGAGGAUGUAACUUUGACGCACAAUUGUCCGAUAAAGGGCUUGGAGCAUCACUAGAAGCUGGCUUCUUAUGUGACUUUAGAAUUUGAAAGUAUGCAUCUCCAUUUCCUACCAACAAAGUAAUGACUGUCAUAAAGGUAACCAUAACAUAAAAGUUACUUGACGUUGUCAUUGCUUGUUAGAUAGGAACAAAAAAAUUGUAUCUAUCAAAGUUUUUGUGGUGAUUGAUAUCAAGUGAUUUGCAAUAUCGUAUUUAUACUUGAAAAUACAGUAGCAAUUAACAUUUACAUUAAAUGUUAUUGUCUAUAUUCACUUUAUAACAAGUUUUUUGUUUAGUUUUCUUGUUAAAAUAGGAAGAAACAUAAAACAUUAGAUGUUGAAACUUACAAUAACAAUAAAUAUGAUAUUGUUUUUUACUCUAAUUAUUGUUCAACAUAGAGUUAAAGGUUUGUUUGUAUGAAUCUUGUUGAGAUGAAGGAUGGUGGGAACUUAAAGGCAACGAUAGAGGUGAUAACAUGGGUCAAACACCUAAUUUUACCCCCUAAAUCCACGGAAUAGAGAUUUGAUGUCACAUAUCAUAUCUUACAGGCUUCCCCGCACCAAUAAUAAUGAAGCAAAAACAACAAUAAAUAUGAAUUUUAAUUGAUAUGUCAUGUUUUUAUUGGUAUGAGACGAUGGAUGGGAGGUCAUAUCUCUUUUUAACUCCACAAUUGUUUGUCUGGUAUCAAAAGUAUCUCAAUUUGACAAGUAGUUGCCAAGGUACCCUUGUUUAAUAACUGCACAUUAUAUAUUAACUGCACAUUUUGUGUUUUGUUAGGAAGAUGGUGGUAAAUAUUAAAAACAUAUUCAAAUACUUUACAAUUAUAAUUAAAUAGUUAUAUAGCCCGAGCAGUUCACAAACAUAGGAACACACAUAUAAUAUUAGUGGAUUCAUUUUUUUCUCUUUCAAAAAUAUACUCAAAAGAAUAUUAAAAGCUCAACAACUUUGUCAUCGCCAAACAUUAUUUGUUUCAGAAAUUAAUAGUAUAUUGAAUAGAAGAAAAGACAUGAUUAUUUUUUGGGAUACCUCGUCAGGAAUUAGAUAAGGCUAGAAAAGAAGAGUUUUGAAGAUAAGUGCAUUUAUGCAUGGUUAUUUGGAGAAUGAAGUAUAUAUAUAUAUAUAUAUUGGAUGAGAGGGAGUUUAGUCUUGUUGGAUGAUUGUACAAGUUCACCUAUGGCAUUCUACGAUCUCCAUAACUAAUAUGGUUAGGUUGAUUUAGUGGAGAGAAAUGUCACAUUUUUUAUGAUCAUCAACUCUCUAAUCACUUUAUAUCUGUUAUUGACUUCGUGGACUAUAUUAUUAUGAGUGUAAUAUCUAUAUACUGACAAUGUAAAUAUUUAUACACAGUCAAUGUGUCAUUCACCAUUCAUUUGUAUUACUCUUAUUUAAAGUCAACAACGAUUAAAAUUAAGGGUGGAUGGGACACCACCUUUAUAAAAAUAUCUUACAUUGUUACUCUGUGUAUAUCCUUGAAAGAAUUGAAGGCUAAAAUAAUAGUUCUCCAAUCUCUUAUAAAACCAAGGAAUUGAGCUUGUUUUGAUAUUUUAUUGGGAUUGAGUUGGCUAGAUAAAAACAUAUUUUGCUAUAUGUUAAAAAUUAUGUUGUCGAUAAUUUUGAAAAAAAUGUGAAUGUUGUAAACCAAUCAGUAAUUUUAUAAAUCGAAUGUUUAACUUAUAUUACAUCAUAAGGAUACAUAUAUGGACUCGGAAACAUAACAUGGACUAGUAGAAAACUCAAAAUUAUUUUUCUCAUUCCAAUAAGAUUAAUAGUCAAUUUCUCUAACACCUAAUGAGCUAUUGUAAGAAUUUUACUCUUAUUCUUUGAUUCCUGGAUUACUUUGCUACAAAAUAUUGGUCAAGCGACUAUAUGCGAAAAAGUUAGACAUUAAGAAGAUGAAUGAUUAAUAUAAAUCCAAUAUAACUUAUUUGUUAAAUAUUUAUAUUUUUUGAUAAAAUAUGACUUUUUAAAAUAACUAUUUUAAUUUUAGUUAAUUAUUGAUAUAAAAUAUUCUGUGAUUAAUAUUUUGUAAUAUAGUGUUAUAAUGUUAAAAUAAUUUAGUCUUUAUUAUUCUAAUUAGAUUGAGCAUGGAGCAUCAGCAAACCUAUAACAAUUAUGGAUUGAGAAUAACAAAAUAGUAUAUAACUUAAUAAUCAAAGAUUAGUUUGGAAUUAUUAAUCGGUACUCAAACAUAUUAUAUACAUGAAAAUUUGAAAUCACUCCAAUAACAUAAUUUAUUAAAAAAAUAAUUGAUACGUGAUAUUAUUAUAAUAUUACAUGUUAAAUAUUAGUUGUUACAAUUGUUCCAAAUUUGGGUUUUUUGUGAUUUGAACUUAGACCAUGUUAUUAAAGCGUAACUUGUCAUGCUGUCAUGCCGAUAUUUACCCAAAUCAUUACAAGGUUAUGGCAGCAAUCUAUACUAAUUGUUUCAUUACCAUAAAAUAUUCCAAAGAUCAUUUGAGUGUCAGAUUGAGGUGAUAACUUGGAUCAUGGAACAUCACUAGAAGCUGGCUUCUUAUGUGCAUUUAUAAUUUGAAAGUAUGCAUCUCUAUUUCUUACCAACAAAGUAAUGUCUGUCAUAAAGGUAACCAUAACAUAAAAAAUAUUUGACUUUGUCAUUGCUUUUUUUAUAGGAACACAAAAUUUGUCUCUAUCGAAGCUUUUGUGGUAAUUGAUAUCAAGUAAUUUGUAAUAUCAUAUUUAUAAUUAAAAAUAUAGCACUAGUUAUCAUUUAGAUUAAAUGCUAAUGUUUAUACUUUUCUUAUAAGUCGACAUACACUUAAAGGUUUGUUUGUUUGAAUCUUAUUGAGAUGAAGGAUGGUAGGGGUGAUGGUGGGAAUUGGAAGACAAUGGUAGAGGUGAUAACUUGGGUCAAACACCUAAUUUACCCCCUAACUCCACGGAACAUAGAUUUCUUAUCACGUAUCAUGUCUCAUACGCUGUCUUGCACCAAUUGUAAAGAAGCAAAAACAAUAAUAAAUAUAAAUUUUAAUUGAUAUUUUAUGUUUUUAAUUAAAAGUGUCAAAAAAAAUAGGAUCAAUGCCACAUGGAAAAUCACAUUUUAGUAAAUAUGUUUUGGAAUGAAAAACCAAAUUUGGUUGAUAGUAUCAAAGGUAUCUUACUUUGAUAAGUAUUUGUGAAGGUACCCUUAUUUGAUAAUAAAUAUUUUUCCCAUAUGAUCGAUUCAAAGGCGGGUUUGAUUGUAGGUCAUUAUGUAUAGUAUAAACUUGUAAUAGAUUAAAUAUUAACAACACAUUUUUUUUUUUACAAAAAUACUGAUAAAUAUUUGAAAAUAUUCAAAUACUUUAUAAUUAUAAUUAAAUAGUUAUAUAGUCCAAGCGACCAUAGACAAGGGAACACACAUACAAUAUUAGAGCAUGCAUUUUUUUUUCUCCUUUUAAAAAUAUACUCAAGAACAUUAAAAGCUCAACGACUUAGUCAUCACCUAUGAAUAUCCAAUUAUGUACGACCUAUAUCUACGGAGAUAAAAAAUUUCAAAACAUAGCAAUUGAAAAGAACAUAUUGUUAUAUGUCAUGGGACCAAUUAUAUCUCUUUUGAAUAAUUUGGUUCUUAACCAACAAUCUAAAUAAAAAAACUAGGGGUAGUUGAAAUAACCAUACAGCUUCAACCACUCAAGUGAGAAGCAAUGCCAUUGGAAAGCACAAAACAUGAGCAUGAUUAUUCAGCCUUCUCUACACUUCUUUCUCUUGUGCAUUGCAUUAGUUCAUGGCUUCAUGCAAGAGGUUAAUUAAAUGCUGCAAUAGUACUAAAUAACACUAUAUUUCUAGUUUUCAGCACACAAGUUACAAAUUGCCACAAAGUUUGUCCUAAGUUUAUCAUAAUAACUUUUUUCAAAGCUCUUAAAAUAGUAGAAGAUGGUGAAAGUGGAUUAGAUCAUACAGAAAAUAUUCAAAUAUGCUAGGUCCAAAGUGCUAAAACAUAAGUAAUAUUUGACCUUGGGACUUGAAGAAAUACAUUUAUAAAUGAUCUCAGUAUUCAAGAGAGCCUAUUGAUGGUAGUAGUCUAGAAAUAGUGUCCUGAGAAUCUGCACCAGUGCUAUUCGUCCUUUGUCCUGAACAUUGAAGGAUUGCACCACUUGCUCUCACAUUUUCUGAAUAUCUUCGGGGGAAAGUAUUUUGAUAUACCAUACGUUAUUCACGAAUGAUCUGCAGGAGUUUAUGCCGAAAAUCAACACACCAAAAACCAGAAUGUCAACAAAGUUUAAUCAAAAUAUACACUAAAGAAAAGUAUCCACUUACUCCCACGGAUCGUCUCCAAGGAGAAGAACAUCAUUCUCCCUGUCGACGAAUACAAGCUGCCAGCCUGAUCUAAGAGGAUCUUCUAAUUUCCCCUCAAUCGCAAACAUCUGAGCCAAUUCCUCUCGCAGCUCAUGAUAGCUGUUGAACCGAGAGAUGUCGAGUGAACGCCCAACUGAUCCUGAUUUGUAAACCUGUGAAAAGACAAUGUUAAACUACCAUAUUAAAUAAAAGGACAAGUUGCACCAAGACUAAAGGUUAUAAUUCAAACCUUCACAAAUGUUCGUGUCUGGUUUUGAGGGUCAAGUUGCCCCGGACUUUGCAACAACUCUGAUGAGUCUUGCAUGCAACCAUAAAGAGAAUCCUGGAAUCCAGAUUCCACUAAUGGCAUUGUCGAUGAAUCAGUGUCAGCUGAUGAAGUAAUAUAACGAGGGACAGUGGUGGGAAGAAGAAGGCCAGAUGAAUCGAUAUUGACACCAAAGAGAGUAGAAUUUUGGGAAUCUGAAUUGCAAUGUGGUGACACCAUUGUAGCAUCUUUUCCAGAAUAUUGCACGUGUGACACUGAGUUGCCGAAGGGAAUGACCUGUAGAGGUGUACACUCGAGCGCCCAUGAUUGUUGUUGUAACUGUUGUUCAGUUAGCAUGGACUGGGCACUUCUGGAUAAAUUCAAGAGAUUACCACUCCCUUCAGGACAAAGUGACCCAAGCAUGUUUUGUCCUGGCGAAACUGAAGCAGCAGAUAACUUCAUGCUUGAAUCAAAGAAAUCCGGUUUUGAAUAUGAUGGUGAAGGCAGAUUAGAGUGUUGCCUCUGAUGGAGCUGUUCAGUUUGAAUUAAAAGUGAAUCUUGAUAAGUGUGUUGCUGCUGCUGUGCCUGGUCUUCUCGAUUGAUUGGUGGUUUCAGAAGGAGCUGCUGCGACAGGUUCUCAGUCAAUACUUGGGCUUGUGGUUGCAGAAUAUUAGGAGACACUGAUUGCUGAAUCACUUGUUGCUUCUGAAGCUGCAACGGAGGGUUAGAGUUUCCUGAUUGUUGAAGAUAGAAAGGCUGUUGAAAAUUCAUCAUUUGUUGCCUCAAGAGAUCUCCGCUUCCUAAGUUCUGCAAACCAGCUGCUGCUGACAUGGCUUGAUACUGCUGAUUCUGAUCAUUUCCAAGCAUAGUUGGAUCCAGCCUCUGCUGCAUCCACGGAAACAAACCGGCACCUUGAAAGUUUAGAGAAUUGACUCCUUGGUCUCCAGGUCCACCUCUCAGCCACAUUAGCCCAUUAGUUGUCUCGUCUCUGCCAUCUGUAAACACAUGACCCUUUGUAAACACGGGAAACAAGGAAGUGUCCUCAAAACAAUGAAACCUAGGAAACUUAUUCCAUUGUGUUUCUGGACAUGAAGAAUGGGUGUAAUAUGAACCAAAGAACACAUGUGGCUAGCAGACAAAAAAUGUAAGCAUUCAAAUUCGACUACUUUCUAAGAAAAAGAAAAUACAUUGUUUGAAAAUUGUCCUUUUUGAGAUGGAGGGAAAAGUAAAGGAGAAAUGUAUGCAUGAAUGUAAAAUUGCAACAAAUAUGUCUUCACUUCAAAAAUGAAAAUUUUGUUUUCUUACACCCAAUCAUAACAUUAGUGUCAUCGUAAUAUUUCAACAAUGUACAUCAACAAUCAGAAGGGAGAUAAUGGGAAAUCAGUAUUGAGAAAACAUGUACCAAGAAAAGAUGAGGAGCCAGGAUGCCAUGGACGUUUCAAUCUGAGGGGAAAUAGUGAUGGAUACAUCGGAAAUGUUGUUAAAGGCUCAAUUUCCCACAAUGACACCCGUGGCUGUCUCUCUCCUGCUGUGGAUUCAUCCCAACCAACCUAUGCACAGGGAUUGUAAAACAGGGUAAAGCAAAAAAAUGGGCUCAUGAAGGAUGCAGAGUCCAGAGUCUUGGACAUUGAAUUUAAUUUGUCAGUAACAAGCAUGGAAUAGAAUACAAAAAAUUAUGUUGCAGCAAACCUAAUGAUUUGAUGAAGAAAAGGGAACACAACUAAAUUAUGUACAACAACAAAAAAGCCAUUUUCCGCUAGAGGGGCUCAACUUCAAGGAUCAUACGACAUCAUUGUAAUCUUAUUUAAUUUAAAUCUAUAUUUUCAAAAUUGCAUUUAAAACAAAGUUCUUUUCAAUUAAGGCUAAUCAACUCAUCUUAUUGAGGCUUUUAAUGUCAUUUUCCGCAGGUCCACAUCUGCUGUCUCUAUCCUUUGUGCCACUCCAUGUGGCAGGAAAUAUGAUUGGCCAGAAAAAUAUUUAAUAAUUGUAAUUUUAACUUAAAUAAUUUUUUUCAACCAAUCAGAAGUAAUGAUACAUAGAGUGGUAUAAAAAGUGAGACAGCAAAUGUACUCCCAUUUUCCGCACAUGGCUAAUCCACCAGACAAGGUCCAUUUUCUCUCUCUAAUGUAUUAACUCUGAAUCAUAUCUUCUCUUGUAUAUCCACUCAUCCAACAGAACAUCUCCAUCUCCGCAACACCAUGCUUAUGCUGGCUAGCUUUUUACCGCCUAACAUUCAAUAUUUACAAAAUGGCAUCAACUCUUCGGUAAGAACCAGAUCCUUGUAAAUCAACCGCAGGAAGUUGGUAUGUCUCAAUGCAACGCACCUGCCUAGAGGCACUUUGCUAAAACAAAUAACAUCUGAAGCAUUUUCUUUUACCUCAUUAUCUCGUUAAACAAUUUCGCGCCAGAUUAAACUUUUCUCUCCUAGGUAUUUCCACACCCUAAUAGGUAUAUUAUCUAGUUCAACUGUUUUACUAUUAUCCAUCCUCAUUAGUGCUUCUUUUACCAAACACUCUUGAAUUCUACAAUAAAAGGUAUAACUUUGGUCUUCUUCUCCAGUGUUAAGAAUAUCAAAGUUCAAUAAUGUCCCGAGUCCUUCAUUAAACAACUGGUGAAAAUAACCUAUCAGAGUCUAGUUAAUAUUAUGUAGCUUAAACAAGGCCCACGUGCCAGCUGUGUAGCUCGCUAACCACUUACUAUAAAUAAUGGUUAGCAUUCUGUAAUCACUGAAUUGAAUCACUAACAGAAAAGAGAAAACAGAUUCAGUUAUCAUUCACCCUCCCUCUUCUGUCUCUAUGCUUUCAAUUUCUAACAUAACCUCAUAAUCUCGUACAAAGGGUUGGGAAGGGGGAGGGAGGGAAGGGAAAAUGAAGGAAAUCCUCUCCCUUGUUUUGGAGUAUAAGAUUUAGAAGAGGAGGGUAAACCAAUGAUAAUGUAAGAAUAUUUUUUAUUUUUCCUUUAAAAAUGUAAUUAAUAAUGAGAAAUGGACAAUAAUGUAUAAUUAUAUAAUAUUACUAAAAAUAUUUAGCUAUUUUGACAUUUUAUCUCAAAAAAUCCCAAAUUGGGAGAACAUUAAAAUUAGACACAUGGAGGGAGAAACCCUCCAAAACCUUCCCCUCUCCUUCAUCCAACUCCCAAACAACCCUUCCCUUCCAAAACCUCAAAAUCUCAAACAAAGCCUAAAUAAAUAUUCCUUUCUCAUCAUCAUUCACCACCUUCUUAGUAUAUCUCUUAUCUACCUCAUAUUUUUUGCAAUACAAAUAAAUGAUGUGAAACAUGAUUACAAGUCUUGAAAAUUUUAUUCAUUAACCAGUCACAAUUCACAACUUUCACAAGAUUAUCCUUCUUAGUUCUUAGUCCUUAUGCAAAGCCUACGGAACAAGUCUAUAAGUUCCCACGGGAGGGCUACAUGUACACAUUUAUCUGUAAGUGGAGAGCAAGAGUGGCUGUUCCAUGAGUAGAAUCCAUGGUCACAAGACAGCGUCAAUAUUAUUAAGCCAAGCCUUACUCUUAUGUUUAUAAUUGCAAAGUAGCAAUAACUUUCAUUAAAUGACAAAAGGUGUCAUAUAAACCACUAUCUAAUCUUAUGUAUCACAUUGUGAUCUUACUUACCUUGACUGAUCGCCAAUGAGAAUUCGGCCAACGAACAGGAUCCAAGUCACUUAUGCCAGUUAUAGUACCCAUGUACCUGCAAAAAAAGGUGACUUGUGCAUAAGGUAUAAUAGUUUGGUGUCACACUACCAAAGAAUAGCAUUUGGCACUCAAUUUUCACCACCUUUAUAUUGAAAACCACCAUUUUGUUUUAUCUCAAUCCCAAAAUCCCAGACUACCACUGCCAUCAUACUGCAACUGCUAACUAUUUUUUCUGCUCAAUGCUCACAUCCCAAAAUUUUAAGCUCAUUUUUAUAAUUAAUCAAUUGACUCCUCCUAAUUACUGUAGAGGGUAGAUGGAUUUUAUAGGCAUAAAUCCCAUCAUCAAUAAAAUUGCCUCCUUAGAAAGUAUUGAUGCAGAUGCCAUACCAAACUCUUUAUAGGUAAGCCAUUUUAGAGGGGACAACCUCUGUAACAUACAUUUAUAAGUUACAGCUAUAUUUACCUUUGCAAAAUUCAGUUAAGUGGUCUAAUAAGAGGUGCAGGAAACAUGUCUACAAUUUAAGAGGAAAGAAACACGAGGCACUUAAGAAAAAACAUUUAAUGGCUACAAGUACCUACGGACACUUGACUCUUCAGUCUCAAAAAGCAUCCUAAAGCGCAUGCCAACAGAAACACGUGUAUGGUACACGGCUUUAAUAUAUUUUGAUAGUGGAAUGACGAACUCGGAUGGGCUAGCCCUGCCAAGAUAUAGGUGUCAAAUGAAGGACAAAUUCUAAUAAAGAAGCCAAAGAAAUGGAAAUUUUGACAAUAUUCACAACCUUGGAUUAUAGAACACUGUAAAGCAGCUAUUGGUUGCUGCAGCAUGGGCAGCAGCAGCAAGAAGCCCAAUGUGCAUACUAUCACUUGAUAGAACUGACGAUGGCAUCACAGUUUGUGGCCGAUUGGCACGACGUAUUCCCAAAAGAAGCUGAUUUUUUUCAUUCCUAAAAAUGAAGAAACAUAGAAAACAAUAACACAAGCAGUUUGCAACUUCCAAGGAGAGAAAAAGGAUGCCAAAAAAGGUAAAAGGAAAUAAAAUAUACCAUAUGAAAAGUACAGAAUCUCCAGCAACAAGCCUUUUUGCACUAACAAAUACACUCCAUCCUGUUGUAAGAAGGUGCCGUUUUGGCUGCCCUGAAAUGAUAUGCAAGGAAUAAGAUAUCAUCUUGUGCAGAAAAUGCAGCUUAUUAAAAAUUCAGAAGUCAAAUAUAAUUAGUGAUGGUAGUAGUCUAGAAACAGUGUCCUGAGAAUCUGCACCAGUGCUAUUCAUCCUUUGACCUGAACGUUGAAGGAUUGCACCGCUUGCUCUCACAUUUUCUGAAUAUCUUCGGGGGAAAGUAUUUUGAUAUACCAAACGUUAUUCACGAAUGAUCUGCAGGAGUUUAUGCAGAAAAUCAACACACCAAAAACCAGAAUGUCAAGAAAGUUUAAUCAAUAGAAAUAGCUAUAUUAUGUACUUAUUAAAAUAUACACUAAAGAAAAGUAUCCACUUACUCCCACGGAUCGUCUCCAAGGAGAAGAACAUCAUUCUCCCUGUCGACGAAUACAAGCUGCCAGCCUGAUCUAAGAGGAUCUUCUAAUUUCCCCUCAAUCGCAAACAUCUGAGCCAAUUCCUCUCGCAGCUCAUGAUAGCUGUUGAACCGAGAGAUGUCGAGUGAACGCCCAACUGAUCCUGAUUUGUAAACCUGUGAAAAGACAAUGUUAAACUACCAUAUUAAAUAAAAGGACAAGUUGCACCAAGACUAAAGGUUAUAAUUCAAACCUUCACAAAUGUUCGUGUCUGGUUUUGAGGGUCAAGUUGCCCCGGACUUUGCAACAACUCUGAUGAGUCUUGCAUGCAACCAUAAAGAGAAUCCUGGAAUCCAGAUUCCACUAAUGGCAUUGUCGAUGAAUCAGUGUCAGCUGAUGAAGUAAUAUAACGAGGGACAGUGGUGGGAAGAAGAAGGCCAGAUGAAUCGAUAUUGACACCAAAGAGAGUAGAAUUUUGGGAAUCUGAAUUGCAAUGUGGUGACACCAUUGUAGCAUCUUUUCCAGAAUAUUGCACGUGUGACACUGAGUUGCCGAAGGGAAUGACCUGUAGAGGUGUACACUCGAGCGCCCAUGAUUGUUGUUGUAACUGUUGUUCAGUUAGCAUGGACUGGGCACUUCUGGAUAAAUUCAAGAGAUUACCACUCCCUUCAGGACAAAGUGACCCAAGCAUGUUUUGUCCUGGCGAAACUGAAGCAGCGGAUAACUUCAUGCUUGAAUCAAAGAAAUCCGGUUUUGAAUAUGAUGGUGAAGGCAGAUUAGAGUGUUGCCUCUGAUGGAGCUGUUCAGUUUGAAUUAAAAGUGAAUCUUGAUAAGUGUGUUGCUGCUGCUGUGCCUGGUCUUCUCGAUUGAUUGGUGGUUUCAGAAGGAGCUGCUGCGACAGGUUCUCAGUCAAUACUUGGGCUUGUGGUUGCAGAAUAUUAGGAGACACUGAUUGCUGAAUCACUUGUUGCUU